rnacentral:rRNA from 1 species
GAUGAACGCUGGCGGCGUGCCUAAUACAUGCAAGUCGAGCGAACAGACGAGGAGCUUGCUCCUCUGACGUUAGCGGCGGACGGGUGAGUAACACGUGGAUAACCUACCUAUAAGACUGGGAUAACUUCGGGAAACCGGGGCUAAUACCGGAUAAUAUAUUGAACCGCAUGGUUCAAUAGUGAAAGACGGUUUUGCUGUCACUUAUAGAUGGAUCCGCGCCGCAUUAGCUAGUGGGUAAGGUAACGGCUUACCAAGGCAACGAUGCGUAGCCGACCUGAGGGGGUGAUCGCCCACACUGGAACUGAGAAACGGUCCAGACUCCUACGGGAGGCAGCAGUAGGGAAUCUUCCGCAAUGGGCGAAAGCCUGACGGAGCAACGCCGCGUGAGUGAUGAAGGUCUUCGGAUCGUAAAACUCUGUUAUUAGGGAAGAACAAAUGUGUAAGUAACUAUGCACGUCUUGACGGUACCUAAUCAGAAAGCCACGGCUAACUACGUG